GAACUGCAUCCAAAACUGGCGAGCUAGAGUACCCUAUGGGGGAACGUUUCGAAAGGAACGCUAAUACUCCUACGGGAGAAAGCAGGGGACCUUCGGGCCUUGCGCUAUCAGAUGAGCCUAGGUCGGAUUAGCUAGUUGGUGAGGUAAUGGCUCACCAAGGCGACGAUCCGUAACUGGUCUGAGAGGAUGAUCAGUCACACUGGAACUGAGACACGGUCCAGACUCCUACGGGAGGCAGCAGUGGGGAAUAUUGGACAAUGGGCGAAAGCCUGAUCCAGCCAUGCCGCGUGUGUGAAGAAGGUCUUCGGAUUGUAAAGCACUUUAAGUUGGGAGGAAGGGCAGUAAGCUAAUACCUUGCUGUUUUGACGUUACCGACAGAAUAAGCACCGGCUAGCCAGCAGCCGCGGUAAUACAGAGGGUGCAAGCGUUAAUCGGAAUUACUGGGCGUAAAGCGCGCGUAGGUGGUUCGUUAAGUUGGAUGUGAAAGCCCCGGGCUCAACCUGGGAACUGCAUCCAAAACUGGCGAGCUAGAGUACGGUAGAGGGUAAUUUCCUGUGUAGCGGUGAAAUGCGUAGAUAUAGGAAGGAACACCAGUGGCGAAGGCGACCACCUGGACUGAUACUGACACUGAGGUGCGAAAGCGGGAGCAAACAGGAUUAGAUACCCUGGUAGUCCACGCCGUAUACGAUGUCAACUAGCCGUUGGAAUCCUUGAGAUUUUAGUGGCGCAGCUAACGCAUUAAGUUGACCGCCUGGGGAGUACGGCCGCAAGGUUAAAACUCAAAU
rnacentral:rRNA from 1 species